CACGUAGGGUGCGAGCGUUGUCCGGAAUUAUUGGGCGUAAAGAGCUCGUAGGCGGUGUGUCGCGUCGGCCGUGAAAACUUGCAGCUUAACUGUGGGCGUGCGGUCGAUACGGGCAUCACUGGAGUUCGGCAGGGGAGACUGGAAUUCCUGGUGUAGCGGUGAAAUGCGCAGAUAUCAGGAGGAACACCGGUGGCGAAGGCGGGUCUCUGGGCAGUAACUGACGCUGGAGGAGCGAAAGCGUGGGGAGCGAACAGG
rnacentral:rRNA from 1 species